UAUUAGGUUGGUGCAAAAGUAAUUGUGGUUUUUGCCAUUAAAAGCAAUGACAAAAACUGCAAUUACUUUUGCACCAACCUAGUC
rnacentral:pre_miRNA from 1 species